rnacentral:rRNA from 1 species
AUUGAACGCUGGCGGCAGGCCUAACACAUGCAAGUCGAGCGGAUGAAGGGAGCUUGCUCCUGGAUUCAGCGGCGGACGGGUGAGUAAUGCCUAGGAAUCUGCCUGGUAGUGGGGGAUAACGUCCGGAAACGGGCGCUAAUACCGCAUACGUCCUGAGGGAGAAAGUGGGGGAUCUUCGGACCUCACGCUAUCAGAUGAGCCUAGGUCGGAUUAGCUAGUUGGUGGGGUAAAGGCCUACCAAGGCGACGAUCCGUAACUGGUCGGAGAGGAUGAUCAGUCACACUGGAGCUGAGACACGGUCCAGAGUCCUACGAGACGCAGCAGUGGGGAAUGUGGGACAGUGGUCGGAAGCCUGAUCCAGCCAGGCCGCGUGUGUGAAGGAGGUCUUCGGAGUGUAAAGCACGUUAAGGUGGGAGGAAGGGCAGUAAGUUGAUACCUUGCUGUUUUGACGUUACCAACAGAAGAAGCACCGGCUAACUUCGUG